CGUUUCCUCUUUCUCACCUCCUCGAUUUCUUCCUGCGUCUCCGCUGCUGAGAUCCGGAUCACGCCAGCACCGUCCGACUCACCACCGGUCAGGAAUCCCAUCUCCUCCACCGCUUACCCGAGCCAUCGCCCUCUACGAAUCGUCGUUUCCUACGCAGGUUGGUCCUCAGCCAAGAGCAAGGAAUCUCGAUGUGCCCUAGCUUUGAUCGACAUCGCCGAGCCCUAACCUCUUGGCCUCCUCCCAAUCCACCGCUGCUGGUGGCUGAGCGCCACUUGACGUCGCCGCCCCUUGCGCGUGAGGCCAGAGCCCUCAUCCUCUCCUUGCAUCGAGGCUGUUCGAUUCAUCCGGCACCGAUCAUUGAGAGAUGGUCAUUGGUCUCCAUCGCACGUUGUCAGUCGCUCUUGGGUUGCCGAUCUUCCAUCCCUUCUGAUCGUCACAAGCAGAAUGCCGUGAUUAGCUCUGCUGCCGCCCCUCUUACUUGCGGUCCCUGAGCGACUACUGCUAUAGUGAGGUCGUCGCCCAAUUUCUCCUCCCUUCUCAUCUUCAGUCGUCAUCAUGAGCUGCUGUGAGGGCAGUGGGCAUUCCCGACUGAAUGGUUUGGCGAUUUGGGAGAUCAGUAGUUUAACCUAGCUUCGGCUACCAAUUUUCGGCAGCAAAUGUCUUCGGUCGUGGGUCAACAGCUAUGCAAUCGUAUUUGCAUAAGUUAUGGAGGUAAUUUCGUGUAUAACUGGAUUCGAGUGUAGUUGUUGAAUGAUUAAUGGUUGAGUUUGAUGAAUAUUUAAGCUUAGAGUUGAUUAAUCUAAAGGAUGAUUGUGUUAAUUGAGGAUUAAACCUAAUCAAAUGAAGAAAAUGGAAUUAGAGGGACCUAAACAUCUAUUUGGGGUGUAGGCGUGGAUCGUGAUACGAUUAGGUCUAUCCUAAUUAGUUUAGAGAAUUUAAUUUAGCUAUUUGAUUCAUUUAAAGAUAGCUAAUGGUAUAUGCUGAUACAAGACUUUGAUUGAGACGGGUGGCACGAUAUGGGAGUCAUUUAGCACGAUCGAUAGAUAAAGACAGGUACUUCUUACCUUGAUUCUUUAGUACUUUGGCCUUAGUGCAUAAGUUAAAUAUUUGGAUAGUUGCUAUAUUUACCUUGGCUCCACUCAUAUUUUUUUUUAGCUUGAUACUUAUCUGUUUAAUCUUUGAGAUGAUCGGAUCCAUGUCUAUACAACCUCUCGUUGUCAUCCAUGAUAUUGAGAAGAUAUUAGAUACCGUGUUUACUUGUUUUGAUUGUUGCUUAUUCUUGUACCUUAUUGAGCAUGCUGACUUUUAUUGUAGCUUAGCUGACUGCUAUUUAUAUAUGUGAUGACUAUUGCAUCUUGCUCAUCAUGUCAUUGCAUGCAUGUUGACGACCAUGUCUUCCUUGUGGUUGAGAGUCGUUGGCCAGAGACGCACACUCGACCACUCAUGGGUAGUAGUAGCUGGAGUACGUGCCGCUUGUCCUGUCAUACUCCCACUCAGUCACUCAUAGGUGUAACAACUGAAGUUGCGAGCAGCAGGGACCCGUUGCUACGUAGCUAGUCAGCUACUAUGCAAAUUGUCCACUCGGUCACUCGAGAGUAGUGGUGUACAGCUAUCAUUGUCCUGGCCUCUCAACCAUAAGGGGUCGUAGUGCAGAGAGAUGGGUGGGAUUGACCAUCCGUGUAUAUGCUUUUCUUAUUAUAUUUGCUUAUGUUGUUGUUUUUAUUGUAUCCAAAUGACUGUGAUAUGCUUACAUAUGAUGAGUUAUAUGCCUAUUGCAUGUGUUA